AAAAAUGAAUCAUGGGUCUUGUAAUUUUCAUUAAAAAAAAUAACGUGAUAAUUAAAUAUAAUGGGUACAUUUCAUUAUUGAAAUUGUGGUUUUGUGUUUGAUAGAAUAUAUUAAGAAGAUUUCACUAAUAAAACCAAGAGAUACGUUUUCCUCUUUUAUUUAAGAAAAUGUGUGCAAUUUUUAGGCUUAAUUUGAGUAAAAUAAACUAAUAAAAUUAAGAAAAAUUUCACCGAUUUAUUUUAAGAGAAUUGGUUCAAUUAUGCGGUUAGAGACACCAUUUGAAAGUGAACGGCAGUGAUCAGAAGACAUUUUUGGCGGAGGGGUCGAACGUCAAUCACAUAAGAGGUAAGCUUAUAACUAUGCUUCUCAUUUAUUUCUUAAAGCUCUUUCAUAGACCAGUUAUGUUCACUCUUGUUCAGUAGCAUUGCUGAGGUCGCAUAUUUUAGUUGUGUCAUGCCGAUGCCUAUAAGGCAAAAUAGAUGAGAUGAGUUGUCUUAAAUCAACGAAAACAAAUUAUAUGACUUGCCAAACUGUGAACGAUUGUCUUAUCUCCAGUGUGUACAACACCACCACAUGCUUGUGCUGUGGCUAGAAUAUUGAUUGCUAAAAUAAAUCGUCGUCGAUGUGCUAACGUUAUAUUCUCCAUAGGCCAUCGGUAAGCUUGAUAUUGGGAAGAUUAAUAGAUGUAACUUUUUAAAACUUCAAAUUACGUCUUUCGAAAUAUAAUAAUGUAUGACAAUUUAAAAAUAAUCUUCUAGAAAAGAGUAAUAAUAAUUAAAAAAAUAUAAUAAUACAGAUGGCACGAUGUAAUAUUGCGUUCAUACUCGAAGCCAGAUGGCGCCCUCUCUUGCAGUAUUCUGUACGCGAUGUCCCAACUCGUUCAUAGAAGUAGACUCUCCCGCAAAUAUCCUCGACCUCGUGUAGAAAGUCUCUGGCUAAAACGCUAAAACCAUGACUAAAACAUCCAGCAGUCGUGACCAUGAUCGUGAAGAUAUUAUCUUUUUCUGCAAACCAUCUCGGAUCAACGUGAGGCUCCUUGUAGCGGUGUCUUUUGUGACAAUGGAGAUAUCCUGCAGCACAUAAUGAAAAUUGCCAUCUGCAAGAGGGAUUAUCAGGAGGAUUUCAGCAUCAUCUUGGAGGGGGUGCAAGUCAUGGCUGGCUUGGAAAAUCUGGCAAGAGCCUGUGCUGUUCUUCUUGGACUCACAUAUGCACUUAACCUCACCUACCCGAAAGUCCUUAGGCACACUUUUGAGGCCUUUCAGAAGCUCUUCUUGGAACUGGAUGUUUGCAAGUUUUCACCAAAAAUACUAACACUUAAAAACAAACUCAUGACUUAGAUUGAGACAAUGCAUUAUUACCAAGUUCUGGUGAAAAGUAAACUGCAUUGAUUGAUGAACGUUUAAUAUUGUUCUACAUACAAGCUUUCAGAAAGUACAAAUGUUUUACAAAGUCUUGCUACAAGUUAUUCUCAAGUUUUAGUCCAUAAUGUGACUUUUCUAACAGAAAAAUGUUGCAUACAAAUUUGUAUGCACAAGUUGUUUUACAAAAUGAUCUUUCUCAUGGAAAAUGUUGGCAUUUUUUAAUUUUAUUUUCAUAUCUUAAAACUGCUGACUUACAUUUUAUACAGAUUUGUUUUAUUUGUGCAAAAAAAAUAAAGAUUAAAAGCAUGUUUGAUAACAAAAAGUGCAUUAUGUAUUCAUUAUUAUCUUAACCUGAAAAAAACAGUAAAUGUUAUAAUUAAGUAAAUUUCAUUCAUACAAAUGAGUAAAUUCUGCUUGAUUUAUUUGUGAGACAACUUAAAUUAAAAAAGCACAUUCCACUAAUAAUAUUAAAUUCAUCAUGUGCCAUAGGCUAAAUAAUUUAGGAAUUUUUAC